rnacentral:rRNA from 1 species
AAUGGGCGAAAGCCUGAUGCAGCAACGCCGCGUGGAAGGAUGAAGGCCUUCGGGUGUGUAAACUUCUGUUCUAAGGGAAGAAAGAAAUGACGGUACCUUAGGAGCAAGCCCCGGCUAACUACGUGCCAGCAGCCCGCGGUAAUACGUAGGGGGCAAGCGUUAUCCGGAAUUAUUGGGCGUAAAGAGUGCGUAGGUGGUCACCUAAGCGCAAGGUUUAAAUUAGAGGCUCAACCUUUACAUGCCUUGCGAACUGGGCUACUUGAGUGCAGGAGGGGAAAGCGGAAUUCCUAGUGUAGCGGUGAAAUGCGUAGAUAUUAGGAGGAACACCGGCGGCGAAGGCGGCUUUCUGGACUGUAACUGACACUGAGGCACGAAAGCGUGGGUAGCAAACAGGAUUAGAUACCCUGGUAGUCCACGCCGUAAACGAUGAGCACUAGGUGUUGGGUCCGUUAGGACUCAGUGCCGCAGUUAACGCAAUAAGUGCUCCGCCUGGGGAGUACGCUCGCAAGAGUAAAACUCAAAGGAAUUGACGGGGACCCGCACAAGCAGCGGAGCAUGUGGUUUAAUUCGAAGCAACGCGAAGAACCUACCAGGGCUGACAUCCUGCUGACAGAACCUUAAUCGGUUUUUCUCGGACAGCAAGACAGGUGUGCAUGGUGUCGUAGCUCUGU